rnacentral:rRNA from 1 species
CUCCUACGGGAGGCAGCAGUGGGGAAUAUUGCACAAUGGGCGAAAGCCUGAUGCAGCGACGCCGCGUGAGUGAAGAAGUAUUUCGGUAUGUAAAGCUCUAUCAGCAGGGAAGAAAA